ACCCAUAAGGUCCCUCCUGCGGAAGAACCAAUUAAUUAUCCAAUAAUCAACACAAAAGGAUCAACUGGCAACUUCGUAGAAAUCUACUAGAAUAAGAAAAUUGAUAGUAUCUUUAUAUUAUAUGGUGUAUCUAAUAGAUAUGGGAGAAAAGGAUAAUAAAUCCAAGACAUUCUCAUGGGCCAUGAAAUUUGAAAACCCCCUGCAAUGGUUGAGUGCUAGAAAAGAGAGUUAAUCUUCAUGGAUAACAAAGCCU
rnacentral:lncRNA from 1 species